UGUCGCGUGAGGGAUGAAUGCCUUUGGGUUGUAAACCUCUUUUUUCAGGGAGGAAUAAAUGACUUGUACCUGAAGAAUAACCGUCCGCUAACUCCGUGCCAGCGGCCGCGA
rnacentral:rRNA from 1 species